rnacentral:rRNA from 1 species
AGGACGAACGCUGGCGGCGUGCUUAACACAUGCAAGUCGAGCGGAAAGGCCCUUCGGGGUACUCGAGCGGCGAACGGGUGAGUAACACGUGAGCAACCUGCCCUUAGCUCCGGGAUAGCUCCGGGAAACCGGAAUUAAUACCGGAUACGACCACAGCCGACAUCUGCUGUGGUGGAAAGGAUUCCGGCUAAGGAUGGGCUCGCGGCCUAUCAGCUAGUUGGUGGAGUAACGGCCCACCAAGGCGACGACGGGUAG